ACNNNNNNUGNNUAGGCCGACGCUGGCGGCGUGCUUAACACAUGCAAGUCGAACGGAGUAUUCACAAAAGAGGUUUCGGCCAAUGGAGUGAACUACUUAGUGGCGGACUGGUGAGUAACGCGUGAGGAACCUGCCUUUCAGUGGGGGACAACAGUUGGAAACGACUGCUAAUACCGCAUGAAGCAUUUGGGGGACAUCCCUUGAAUGUCAAAGAUUUAUCGCUGAAAGAUGGCCUCGCGUCUGAUUAGCUAGUUGGUGAGGUAACGGCCCACCAAGGCGACGAUCAGUAGCCGGACUGAGAGGUUGACCGGCCCACAUUGGGGACUGAGAUACGGCCCCCAACUUCCUACGGGAGGCAGCAGUGGGGGGAUAUUUGGGCCAAUGGACGAAAGUCUGACCCCAGCAACCGCCCCCGUGGAGGAAGAAAGGCUUUUCGGUUGGUAAACUUUCUUUUAAGGGGGGAAAGAGUAAAAAACCGGUACCCCCUUGGAAUAAGCCCACCGGCUAACUAACGUGCCCACCAGCCCCCGGUAAUACCUAAGGUGGCAAGCGUUGUUCCGGAUUUACUGGGUGUAAAAGGCGUGCAGCCCGGAAAGGAAAUCACAAGUGAAAUUUGGAGGGUCAACCUCCCAACUGCAUUUUAAAAUGCUUUUUCUUGAGUAUCCGAAAAGAAUCCGAAUUCCCUGUGUAGCGGUGAAAUGCGUAGUAUAAAGAAAAAAAACCCCUGGCGAAAGGGGAUUUACUGGACGACCACUGACGGUGAGGCGCGAAACCUGGGGAAGCAAACAAGAAUAAGAUACCCUGGGAAUCCACCCUGUAAACGAUCAAUACUAAGUGUGCCGGGGACUGACCCCCCUGNNNGCCCCAGUUAACAACAAAAAGAAUUGCACCUCGGNNGUACGAUNNCCAAGGUGAAAUCCAAGANUUGACGNNNCCCCCCNNAACC
rnacentral:rRNA from 1 species